AGGAAGCUACGGGGGGCAGCAGUGGGGAAUAUUGCACAAUGGGGGAAACCCUGAUGCAGCAACGCCGCGUGAGUGAAGAAGUAUUUCGGUAUGUAAAGCUCUAUCAGCAGGGAAGAAGAUGACGGUACCUGAGUAAGAAGCCCCGGCUAACUACGUGCCAGCAGCCGCGGUAAUACGUAGGGGGCAAGCGUUAUCCGGAUGUACUGGGUGUAAAGGGAGCGUAGACGGUGAGACAAGUCUGAAGUGAAAGCCAGGGGCUCAACACCGGGACGGC
rnacentral:rRNA from 1 species